rnacentral:lncRNA from 1 species
CCCCCCCCCCCCCCCCCCCCCCCGGAGGGCUGUUGGGACGGUUGGGAAAUUGGAGUUGGAUGGGGUGGUGACAGUUAUUGGAGACGUGCAGCUUCCGCAGUUCGGGAGGGACCUGCUGCGGAGGGGCCCGGCAUGUGCCGCCUCUCCUCAAAUCAAGCAGUGGUGUGCCAGUGAUAGAGGAUUUGCUCAGGGAUAUGCAAGAAAGUGACAGCACCAAGCACAGGUACAGGUGGCGCUGGGUGGGAUGGGCCGCGAGGCGGAGGCGACCUGGGAGGCCGAAUGGUGCUGGCGUCUAUGGGACUGGCCUCAUUGGGGGAGCCGCGAUCUGGGCACAUCGGAGUGACUUGGUGGUCACAAGAGAGGAGGGAGCGAAGAAGAUUGUAGUAGUGCAGGAGAGUAGGUGCG